UUCUAGAGAAACACGGGAGAAAAAAACAAGGAAACCAACAAAGUUGUUACAAAUGAACAGGGGGAAGGGGAGGAGGACAGAGAAAAGGAAAGAGAAAGUGAAAAAGGAAACAGAUGGAAAUCAAGCUGUUGGAGAAUUUUGCCUGGACAAGGCAGGAGAAUGGACACCAGUCGCCCUCAGAAAACCACAAAUCUCCCACGUUUGCCACCAAGGUUUACUGGGCACCUUUUCUACAGGUGCAGGGGAGCAGCAGAGAGCCCUGACCACAGCCUGGCCGGAGAAACCGCUGUCAUGUAAGGAAGCCCAAGACAGACCCUGGAGGCAGCCCUGCAUGAACUGAGAGUGAGUGAGAGAGAGCAAGAGAGAGAUCCCAGCCAUCACCACCGAGGUUCCAGACCUGAGAUAGGCCGUCGUGGACACUCCAAUCUCAGCUGUCAUCUGACUCCAGCCUCAUGAGGAUCUCCAGCUGAAGCCACAUGGAACAGAAGAGCCAUCCAGUCAAGUGUUGCUCAAAUUUCUGGCCUGCAGAAUUGUGAGCAAAUAAAGUUUGCUGUUUUGAGCCACUAA